rnacentral:rRNA from 1 species
UACAGAGGUGCCAAGCGUUAGGCGGAAUCACUGGGCUUAAAGCGCGUGUAGGCGGGUCGUUAAGUGUCCGAGUGAAAUCCCACGGCUCAACCGUGGAACUGCCGGGCAUACUGGCGAUCUUGAGGCAUUCAGGGGCGAGCGGAACAAUGGUGGAGCGGUGAAAUGCGUAGAUAUCAUUGGAACGCCAAUAGGUGAAAACAGCUCGCUGGGAAUGAUCUGACGCUGAGAACGCGAAGCCAGGGAGGCGAACGGG